CAGCCGCCGCGGUAAUACGUAGGUGGCAAGCGUUGUCCGGAGUUAUUGGGCGUAAAGGGCUCGCAGGCGGUUUCUUAAGUCUGAUGUGAAAGCCCCCGGCUCAACCGGGGAGGGUCAUUGGAAACUGGGAAACUUGAGUGCAGAAGAGGAGAGUGGAAUUCCACGUGUAGCGGUGAAAUGCGUAGAGAUGUGGAGGAACACCAGUGGCGAAGGCGACUCUCUGGUCUGUAACUGACGCUGAGGAGCGAAAGCGUGGGGAGCGAACAGGAUUAGAUACCCGAGUAGACCCUGUCUCUUAUAC
rnacentral:rRNA from 1 species